ACCGGGACGGACGAACCUCUGGUGUGCCAGUUGUUCUGCCAAGGGCAUGGCUGGUUGGCUACGUUCGGGAGGGAUAACCGCUGAAAGCAUCUAAGCGGGAAGCCUGCUUCGAGAUGAGUAUUCCCACCUCCUUGAGAGGGUAAGGCUCCCAGUAGACGACUGGGUUGAUAGGCCGGAUAUGGAAGCCCUGUAAGGGGUGGAGUUGACCGGUACUAAUAGGCCGAGGGCUUGUCCUCAGUUG
rnacentral:rRNA from 1 species